rnacentral:rRNA from 1 species
AUUGAACGCUGGCGGCAGGCCUAACACAUGCAAGUCGAACGAGUGGCGGACGGGUGAGUACUGUCGGGGAAAAUGCCUGAUGGAGGGGGAUAACUACGGGAAACGGUAGCUAAUACGGUAUACCAUCCGAUUUGCCCAGUUGGGAUUAGCUAGUAGGGGGGGUAACGGCUCACUUAGGCGACGAUCCGUACCUGGUCUGCGCGGAUCACCAGCCACACUGGAACUGAGACACGGUCCAGACUCCUACGGGAGGCAGCAGUGGGGAAUAUUGCACAAUGGGCGCAAGUCUGAUGCAGCCACGCCGCGUGUAUGAAGAAGGCCUUCGGGUUGUAAAGUACUUUCGGCGGGGAGGCGUUACCUGCAGAAGAAGCCCCGGCUAACUCCGUGCCAGCAGCCGCGGUAAUUC